rnacentral:rRNA from 1 species
UACGUAGGGUGCAAGCGUUGUCCGGAAUUAUUGGGCGUAAAGAGCUCGUAGGCGGUUCGUCGCGUCGGCUGUGAAAACCCGGGGCUCAACCCCGGGCCUGCAUUCGAUACGGGCAGACUAGAGUUCGGUAGAGGAGUCUGGAAUUCCUGGUGUAGCGGUGAAAUGCGCAGAUAUCAGGAGGAACACCGGUGGCGAAGGCGGGACUCUGGGCCGAUACUGACGCUGAGGAGCGAAAGCGUGGGGAGCAAACAGG